UGACCUUUGGUGCAAAUAGAGGCCGGAUCUCCAAAGCCCGGAGGAAGAUGGCCCUCCAGCGGGUUUUAAGCAUCCCGAAGUCUUACCUGCUACAGGCUGGCGGUAUGGGGUCAUGAGGGUCAUGCUGCAGGCAAGGGUACCCCCCAUCUCCAAGCAGGUAGAAGCCAGCUGGUGGGUACAGAGACUCCUUGUACAUUGGACAUCUUCGGAGGAUAAGGGCAUCAUGGACUGACCCCGUGUUUCCAACGUGGGAGAAUGCGGACGUGGCACCCAUCUAUGGCACCAGCCACACACCGAAAUGCCUCGUGCCCAGCCAGACGUGCAAAGCCUGCUCCCACCUCCUCCAUCUCUUCAGGCUUGGGGAAAUGGAUAACCUUGUGGAGGAUGGCCAUCAUGUCCUCCACUGAAGUGUGGACUACCCUGCCAACCGUGGCCCUCGGCAUGGCAAAUAUGUCUGCUGUAACCCUAUAGGAGGUGCCACAUGCCAGCCAGUAGAGACAGACAGUCACCUCAAUCUCAUGGCUCCAACCAUGUGGCUUUUGCCGAGGCAGCAUCUGGACCAGUAAAUUGAUGGUCUCCCUGGACAGCCUAAAGGCUGGUUUUAGGUCUGCCUCAGAGAAAAAGGUGCAGAGGAUAGGCACAGUGUUGUUUAUCUGUGCAUACCUCAGAGGAGAAUGAUCCUGUAUUAAAAAAGAGAGAUAUAUUUUUAAUGUUAACAAUCAUGAAUUGACAUUUUAAUUAUAUUUAUUUAUUUAUUUAGCUAUUUCAUAGUUUUUAUCUGUUUACUGUGAUCAUGCCUAUUUUACUUAGAUGUAUUUAAAAUUAUAUAAUGUAAAAUUAAUUAAAUAUUGUUCUUUUGUCAGGUUCUCAUUACGCAUUAUCAUUUAUUAU